rnacentral:rRNA from 1 species
GAUGAACGCUGGCGGCGUGCUUAAUACAUGCAAGUCGAGCGAAUGGAUUAAGAGCUUGCUCUUAUGAAGUUAGCGGCGGACGGGUGAGUAACACGUGGGUAACCUGCCCAUAAGACUGGGAUAACUCCGGGAAACCGGGGCUAAUACCGGAUAACAUUUUGAACCGCAUGGUUCGAAAUUGAAAGGCGGCUUCGGCUGUCACUUAUGGAUGGACCCGCGUCGCAUUAGCUAGUUGGUGAGGUAACGGCUCACCAAGGCAACGAUGCGUAGCCGACCUGAGAGGGUGAUGGGCCACACUGGGACUGAGACACGGCCCAGACUCCUACGGGAGGCAGGAGUAGGGAAUCUUCCGCAAUGGACGAAAGUCUGACGGAGCAACGCCGCGUGAGUGAUGAAGGCUUUCGGGUCGUAAAACUCUGUUGUUAGGGAAGAACAAGUGCUAGUUGAAUAAGCUGGCACCUUGACGGUACCUAACCAGAAAGCCACGGCUAACUACGUGCCAGCAGCCGCGGUAA